CGCCUGAAAGAAGCUCUGUCGGUCAAAGACAACCUGGCCGAGGAAUGGUCUUCUAAAGCCGCAAGUCUCCAGAGGUCCAACCAGAAGCUCGCAAGGCAGCUCGAAACGCACACAUCGUCUGACAACAAAAUGCGAGAGCUGAGCCAAGAGAAGCUGCAGCUGGAGCAGCAGGUGCAGCGCGAGAGGAAGACGCUCGCUGCGCUCAGGGAAGACCUUGUCGCCGAGAAGGUGCGCACGCAGCAGCUCAGCAACCAGCUGGAGAGCCUCACAGCAGACCUGGUCAAACUCGGUCUCAAAACCGACAACCUUAGCGCCCCUACCUCAUCCGACGCGGC